AGACUUCUUGCAUAAUUAUACUCGAGACAUUGACAUCUAGAUCUGGAAUCCUGGAUCUGAUCCAUGUACGGCAGAGCAUCCCUGGCUGGGAGUUGCGAGCGUCCGCUGCCCUUGCACCGACAGAUUGGCGAUGGCUUCCUCCUUCGCUGCCGUCUUCUUCAGUAGCGCCUUCGCCGCCUGCUUCGCUGAGGUGUGCACCAUUCCUCUAGACACAGCUAAAGUGCGGCUUCAGCUGCAAAAGAAAGCAGCCCAAGUUGCUACAAGCGGCGGCGGCGGAGGAAUGCUGGGCACCAUAAUGUCCAUCACAAGGGAGGAGGGGGUGUCUGCUCUAUGGAACGGCAUCAUCCCUGGCCUUCACCGCCAAUGCGUCUAUGGCGGCCUCCGCAUCGGCUUGUAUGAGCCUGUGAAAGUUUUCUUUAUCGGAGACGGUGGUGUCAGUUUAUUGGCCAACAAGAUUAUUGCUGCUCUUACGACUGGUGUCAUAGCAAUUGUUGUGGCAAAUCCAACUGAUCUUGUCAAAGUGAGAUUGCAAGCUGAUGGAAAGGCUACCGCUGUCAAGAAACACUAUUCUGGAGCCCUUAAUGCGUAUGCUACCAUAAUCAGACAGGAAGGUAUCGGAGCUUUGUGGACUGGACUUGGUCCAAAUAUCGCACGCAAUGCGAUAAUUAAUGCUGCUGAGUUGGCCAGCUACGACCAACUCAAACAGAUGUUUCUAGAACUUCCUGGGUUUACUGACAACGUUUUUACCCAUCUUUUAGCUGGACUUGGUGCUGGUUUUUUGGCUGUUUGCAUUGGCUCUCCGGUUGAUGUGGUGAAAUCAAGAAUGAUGGGUGACUCAACAUACAAGAGUACACUGGACUGUGUUGCAAAGACAUUAAAGAAUGAUGGACUUCCUGCAUUCUAUAAAGGGUUCAUUGCAAACUUCUGCCGCAUUGGGUCAUGGAAUGUGAUAAUGUUUUUAACUUUGGAGCAGGUAAGAAGAUGGAUUCUGUAACUCUGCGCUCCGCUACAAGCCAAGGUUUAUUAAGAAUGUACAGUAUUUUAAGCUGAGUUAAUUUGACCUGUUAUGCUGAACAAAAACUUUCAUUGUGCAACUUUGUUUAUGCUUGUCUUGGGAUAUGUUGUAUUUUGAUAUUGCUGGAUUGAAUUAUUUUUUUAGGAACUCUAUGUGGAAAAUAGUUAGUCGCCAUUAUUUUUUCACCUGUUGUGUUACUGUCUUUAGAGAUUGUACAGGAUGGCAAUGCAAUCCUACCACUGUUGACUUUUGAGAUGCUCUUUGAGGUUGUUAUUGGCUAGAUGGGGCCUUGUUACCUGUUUCCCCGCGGAAGAUUCUCCUAUUAGGAAACGGGGAUGGUUUUAAUUGGUUCUCCAUGGAAAAUUAAAUAAAGGAAAACAUGUCCACAUCGGGUCUUGCUGAGGCAUGUAUGGCCCUCAAUCCCUCGUCUGUGUUCCCUGUGGAGACUCGAUUAAUAGGCAUAUGGACAAGGAACCCACGGGGAUUAAUUCCCUGUACUGGGAUGGUCACGGGGAAAUUAUUUACCCAUUGCAAUUAGCGGGCACGAGGACAUGGGAAAUUCUACUCGCGGGGACAGGCAUGGGACGUUAAAUCCGAUGAGGAAUUUCCUGUUGCCAUCUCUAUUAUUGGCAGGACAGGUCCAAAAACUAUGUAGCUAGAACAGUACAAUCGUACAUGACAAUCCACUAGUAUAUAUGUUAUCUUUUCGCUUUUUGAAGGAAAAACCCAAACAUCAUAUUUG